CGAACGCAGUAGCAAUACUGAGUGGCGAACGGGUGAGUAUAAUGUAGGUAUCUGCCUUUUGGUUUGGAAUAACACGAGGAAACUUGUGCUAAUACCGGAUAAGCCUUUACAGGGAAAGUUUUAACGCCAAAAGAUGAGCCUGCACUUGAUUAGCUAGUUGGUAAGGUAAUGGCUUACCAAGGCUACGAUCAAUAGCUGAUCUGAGAGGAUGAUCAGCCACAUUGGGACUGAGACACGGCCCAGACUCCUACGGGAGGCAGCAGUGGGGAAUCUUGCACAAUGGGGGAAACCCUGAUGCAGCGAUGCCGCGUGAGUGAAGAAGGCCUUUGGGUUGUAAAGCUCUUUCGUCGGGGAAGAAAAUGACUGUACCCGAAUAAGAAGGUCCGGCUAACUUCGUGCCAGCAGCCGCGGUAAUACGAAGGGACCUAGCGUAGUUCGGAAUUACUGGGCUUAAAGAGCUCGUAGGUGGUUAGAAAAGUUGGUGGUGAAAUCCCAAGGCUUAACCUUGGAACUGCCGCCAAAACUUUUUGACUAGAGUAUGAUAGAGGAAAGUGGAAUUUCUAGUGUAGAGGUGAAAUUCGUAGAUAUUAGAAAGAACACCGAUUGCGAAGGCAACUUUCUGGAUCAUUACUGACACUGAGGAGCGAAAGCAUGGGUAGCGAAGAGGAUUAGAUACCCUCGUAGUCCAUGCCGUAAACGAUGUGUGCUA
rnacentral:rRNA from 1 species